rnacentral:rRNA from 1 species
CCUACGUGAGGCUGCAGUGAGGAAUAUUUGUCAAUGGGCUUACGCCUGAACCAGCCAAGUCGCGUGAGGGAAGACUGCCCUAUGGGUUGUAAACCUCUUUUGUCAGGGAGCAAUUGGCGCUACGUGUAGCGUUAUCGAGAGUACCUGCAGAAAAAGCAUCGGCUAACUCCGUGCCAGCAGCCGCGGUAAUACGGAGGAUGCGAGCGUUAUCCGGAUUGAUUGGGUUUAAAGGCUGCGUUGGCGGAAUGCCAAGUCAGCGGUAAAAUCGCGGGGCUCAACCUCGCUCCGCCGUUGAUACUGGCGUUCUUGAGUGGGCGAGAAGUAUGCGGAAUGCGUGGUGUAGCGGUGAAAUGCAUAGAUAUCACGCAGAACUCCGAUUGCGAAGGCAGCAUACCGGCGCCCAACUGACGCUGAAGCACGAAGGCGUGGGUAUCGAACAGGAUUAGAUACCCGAGUAGUC